CUCCUCCAGAUCCCUUAUAUUUUUGGUCUAAAUAUUGGUCUGAGUGGCUAAACAAAGGAGGGAAAGUAAAAUUCGGGUGGAUCUGGAGUGUUAAGUGUCAUACAAAUUAAUUUCACACAUGA
rnacentral:snoRNA from 1 species